rnacentral:rRNA from 1 species
UAGGGAAUCUUCGGCAAUGGACGAAAGUCUGACCGAGCAAAGCCGCGUGAGUGAAGAAGGUUUUCGGAUCGUAAAACUCUGUUGUUAGAGAAGAACAAGGACGUUAGUAACUGAACGUCCCCUGACGGUAUCUAACCAGAAAGCCACGGCUAACUACGUGCCAGCAGCCGCGGUAAUACGAAGGUGGCAAGCGUUGUCCGGAUUUAUUGGGCGUAAAGCGAGCGCAGGCGGUUUCUUAAGUCUGAUGUGAAAGCCCCCGGCUCAACCGGGGAGGGUCAUUGGAAACUGGGAGACUUGAGUGCAGAAGAGGAGAGUGGAAUUCCAUGUGUAGCGGUGAAAUGCGUAGAUAUAUGGAGGAACACCAGUGGCGAAGGCGGCUCUCUGGUCUGUAACUGACGCUGAGGCUCGAAAGCGUGGGGAGCAAACAGG